UUGAGAAAUUCCUUUUUGGAGGCCAAAGCAGCUUUAAUGAAGAACUACGCCCACAUAACUUCAGAUGAACUUGAAAUCUUUCUUCAGACACUGACUUUUUCUGUAAAAAAUGGAAUAAUCCCCUUAAAAAAUGGAACUCUUUAUCUAAGUUGGAAUUUUAAGAACUCUAUUUCAUUUGUGGCAUACACAUUAACCACAAUAGUGAAAAAAUUGGGAGAAUCUUGGAUUUCAGGGAUCCACAUGAGGUCAGAGUGUUGGGAACAGAUGUCACCAUAACCCAUGGAUUCUGCC